rnacentral:rRNA from 1 species
UACGGGGGGGGGCAAGCGUUGUUCGGAAUUACUGGGCGUAAAGGGCUCGUAGGCGGCCAACUAAGUCGGACGUGAAAUCCCUCGGCUUAACCGGGGAACUGCGUCUGAUACUGGAUGGCUUGAAUCCGGGAGAGGGAUGCGGAAUUCCAGGUGUAGCGGUGAAAUGCGUAGAUAUCUGGAGGAACACCGGUGGCGAAGGCGGCAUCCUGGACCGGCAUUGACGCUGAGGAGCGAAAGCCAGGGGAGCAAAGCGGG